rnacentral:rRNA from 1 species
AGAGUUUGAUCCUGGCUCAGAUUGAACGCUGGCGGCAUGGUUAAAGCAUGCAAGUCGAACGCGAAAGUAUUUCGGUACGAGUAGAGUGGCGGAAGGGCGAGGAAUAUAUUUCUAACGUGCCCCAAGGUAAGGGAUAGCAUCGGGAAACUGAUGGUAAUACCUUAUAACCCCGUAGGAUCGUAUGGUCCAGCGGGCAAAGGCUUGCUGCCUUGGGAUCGGGAAAUAUGCUAUCAGCUUGUUGGUAAGGUAAUGGCUUACCAAGGCUUAGACGGCUAGCGGGUGUGAGAGCACGACCCGCCGCAUCGGGACUGAGACACUGCCCGGACUCCUACGGGAGGCUGCAGCGACGAAUAUUCCGCAAUGGACGAAAGUCUGACGGAGCAAUGCCGCGUGUGGGAUGAAGCCCCUUGGGGUGUAAACCACUGUCAGAGACUACUAAUACAAUGAAGAAUCUCAAAGGAAGGGCCGGCUAACUUCGUGCCAGCAGCCGCGGUAAUACGAAGGGCCCGAGCGUUAAUCGGAAUCACUGGGCUUAAAGGGUGUGUAGGCUGUUUUGUAAGUAUCUUGUGAAAUCCCAAGGCUCAACCUUGGAACUGCUGGGUAUACUGCAAAACUUGAGGUCGGUAGGGGCAGCUGGAACAAUAGGUGGAGCGGUGAAAUGCGUAGAUAUCUAUUGGAACGCCAAAGGCGAAGGCAAGCUGCUGGGCCGAAUCUGACGCUGAGACACGAAAGCGUGGGUAUCGAACGGGAUUAGAUACCCCGGUAGUCCACGCCGUAAACGAUGUACACUAGUUCGAGAGGGCUCUGACGCCAGCUUGGACGAAGCUAAAGUGUUUAGUGUACCGCCUGGGGAGUACGGUCGCAAGACUAAAACUCAAAGGAAUUGACGGGGGCUCACACAAGCGGUGGAGCAUGUGGCUUAAUUCGAGGCAACGCGAAGAACCUUAUCCAGGGUUUGACAUGUAUGGAUUAACUUUCCGAAAGGAGAGCCACACUCUUUGAGUGGAACAUACACAGGUGCUGCAUGGCUGUCGUCAGCUCGUGCUGUG